GACGAACGCUGGCGGCGUGCUUAACACAUGCAAGUCGAACGGAAAGGCCCUGCUUUUGUGGGGUGCUCGAGUGGCGAACGGGUGAGUAACACGUGAGUAACCUGCCCUUGACUUUGGGAUAACUUCAGGAAACUGGGGCUAAUACCGGAUAGGAGCUCCUGCUGCAUGGUGGGGGUUGGAAAGUUUCGGCGGUUGGGGAUGGACUCGCGGCUUAUCCGCUUGUUGGUGGGGUAGUGGCUUACCAAGGCUUUGACGGGUAGCCGGCCUGAGAGGGUGACCGGCCACAUUGGGACUGAGGUACGGCCCAGACUCCUACGGGAGGCAGCAGUGGGGAAUAUUGCACAAUGGGCGGAAGCCUGAUGCAGCAACGCCGCGUGCGGGAUGACGGCCUUCGGGUUGUAAACCGCUUUCGCAUGUGACGAAGCGUGAGUGACGGUAAUGGGUAAAGAAGCACCGGCUAACUACGUG
rnacentral:rRNA from 1 species